rnacentral:rRNA from 1 species
AAUCAACGCUGGCGGCGUGCCUCAGACAUGCAAGUCGAACGCGAAAGUUUCCUUCGGGAGAUGAGUAGAGUGGCGCACGGGUGAGUAACACGUGAGUAAUUUACCUCGGGUGGGAUACUAACGGAACGGUGUUAAUACCGCAUAAUGCAGCGGCAUCAAUGAUGACAGUUGUUAAAGCGGGGGAGUUGGAGCAAUCCGACCUCGCGCCUGAAGAGAAGCNCGCGGCAGAUUAGCUAGUUGGUAAGGUAAUGGCUUACCAAGGCGACGAUCUGUAACGGCC